CAGUAGCCGCGGUAAUACGGAGGGUGCAAGCGUUAAUCGGAAUUACUGGGCGUAAAGCGCACGCAGGCGGUUUGUUAAGUCAGAUGUGAAAUCCCCGAGCUUAACUUGGGAACUGCAUUUGAAACUGGCAAGCUAGAGUCUUGUAGAGGGGGGUAGAAUUCCAGGUGUAGCGGUGAAAUGCGUAGAGAUCUGGAGGAAUACCGGUGGCGAAGGCGGCCCCCUGGACAAAGACUGACGCUCAGGUGCGAAAGCGUGGGGAGCAAACAGGAUUAGAUACCCGCGUAGUCCCUGUCUCUUAUAC
rnacentral:rRNA from 1 species